UCGGCGAAUCGUUGGAAAGACUCAUUUGCAUUUUCACUGGACAGAACUUCUUCCUGCAUAUUGUUUUCGAGCUCAUAUCUAAAAGAUUGUUUUUGUCAUUCGGAAUAAGUACGUUUAAGAUUUAUAAUUAUUUGAGUUAUGUGUUUUAUAUGUUAUUGACUUUUCUAUACAAAAUAUUGGACAGUGAUCAGAAAUAUCGGUAAAAUCAAUUUCGGUGCCAAUAUCUUGGAGAUCGCAUGAGUUAGUUAAAAAAUUUCCAGUGGACCAGUGGCUACAAUGUUACUUUCUCGUUUUGUGCUCGUUAAUUUUGUUGAAAGUGAAUUCAGCAACCCAGUGGUCUCGAUCUGCUCAGCUCAAUGUUCUUUGUUUGUUCCACGAUUCUGGUGUUCAUUGUAUUCAUUUAAUAUUGAAUAAUAUUGGAAAUAUUAAGUUCUAGUAUUUGAAAUAAAUUUUCAUUGUAUUUAUUAUUGUAGCAUUUAAAAUAAAUAUUCAUUUAUAUUGAAUAUA